rnacentral:rRNA from 1 species
UUGGAGGGCAAGUCUGGUGCCAGCAGCCGCGGUAAUUCCAGCUCCAAUAGCGUAUAUUUAAGUUGUUGCAGUUAAAAAGCUCGUAGUUGGACCUUGGGGUGGGUCGACCGGUCCGCCUUUCGGUGUGCACCGGUCGUCUCGCCUCUACUGCUGGCGAUGCGCUCCUAGCCUUAAUUGGCCGGGUCGUGCCUCCGGCGCUGUUACUUUGAAGAAAUUAGAGUGCUCAAAGCAAACCUACGCUCUGUAUACAUUAGCAUGGGAUAACAUUAUAGGAUUCCGGUCCUAUUGUGUUGGCCUUCGGGAUCGGAGUAAUGAUUAACAGGGACAGUCUGGGGCAUUCGUAUUUCGUAGUCAGAGGUGAAAUUCUUGGAUUAUGAAAGACGAACAACUGCGAAAGCAUUUGCCAAGGAUGUUUUCAUUAAUCAAGAACGAAAGUUGGGGGCUCGAGGACGAUCAGAUACCGUCCUAGUCUCAACCAUAAACGAUGCCGACCAGGGAUCGGCGGAUGUUACUUUUAGGACACCGCCGGCACCUUAUGGGAAACCAAAGUGUUUGGGUUC